rnacentral:rRNA from 1 species
UACGUAGGGCGCAAGCGUUGUCCGGAAUUAUUGGGCGUAAAGAGCUCGUAGGUGGCUUGUCACGUCGGGUGUGAAAGCUUGGGGCUUAACUCCAGGUCCGCAUUCGAUACGGGCUGGCUAGAGGUAGGUAGGGGAGAACGGAAUUCCUGGUGUAGCGGUGAAAUGCGCAGAUAUCAGGAGGAACACCGGUGGCGAAGGCGGUUCUCUGGGCCUUACCUGACGCUGAGGAGCGAAAGCGUGGGGAGCGAACAGG